rnacentral:rRNA from 1 species
GUGAACGCUGGCGGUAGGCCUAACACAUGCAAGUCGAACGGCAGCACAGUAAGAGCUUGCUCUUACGGGUGGCGAGUGGCGGACGGGUGAGGAAUACAUCGGAAUCUACUUUUUCGUGGGGGAUAACGUAGGGAAACUUACGCUAAUACCGCAUACGACCUACGGGUGAAAGCAGGGGAUCUUCGGACCUUGCGCGAUUGAAUGAGCCGAUGUCGGAUUAGCUAGUUGGCGGGGUAAAGGCCCACCAAGGCGACGACCCGUAGCUGGUCUGAGAGGAUGAUCAGCCACACUGGAACUGAGACACGGUCCAGACUCCUACGGGAGGCAGCAGUGGGGAAUAUUGGACAAUGGGCGCAAGCCUGAUCCAGCCAUACCGCGUGGGUGAAGAAGGCCUUCGGGUUGUAAAGCCCUUUUGUUGGGAAGGAAAGCAGCAGGUUAAUACCCCGCUGUUCUGACGGUACCCAAAGAAUAAGCACCGGCUAACUUCGUG